GCUGUUCCACAACCUGCAGCCCCUGCUGAUCUCUGUGCUUAGUGACAGCUCAAAUAGCUGAGCUCCACUGUGUUUCCACUCUCGGCUUGGGUUGCUAUGUGGCUGCUGCUGAUGUCCAGGAGGACAUCGUUUAUGAGGACAUGGAGACACUCUGUGGUACCCUGCGCACUCUGGCCACUGACAGCAACAAGUACCAUGCUAAGGCCAACGCUCUACUUUCCGUGCUGUGCUGAACUUUGUUGAGGGCAGUGAAUGCCAGGAAGAGACAAUCCGCUUUGGACUGAAGUGCUCUAUGUGGACAGCUGGGCUCAGCACCAGAUCUAUGCUGCCUUCAAGGAUGUACUGGGUUCCGGCAUGCACCACCACCUUCAGAACAAUGAGCUUCUUCUUGACUUCUUUGGCCUGGGCCCAGUGCUGGUGCUGGAUGACACUUCCCUGAAGGCCUGCAAAAUUUCAUGCUUUGAGAAGCACCUGUACAAUGCUGCUACCUUCAAAGGCCUGACCAAGGCUCGCAGCCGUGUAAGGGACAAGUGGGCAGACACCCUGUGAGGCGGACCAGCUGAAGAGAAGUCUAUCCACAUUGUUGCCCAUAUUUUUACAGAAGAGAGUGCAAGAACUGGUCUCUGCCAGUGAUUGUCACUUUAUUUUUUUAAUGGCAAAACCAAAAACAGAUAUAGGACAGAUGAGUGAAGGGUCAGGACUUUUGGGACCCUGGCCUUUGUCCCCGCACUCAACUCUAUGGCCUCUUCCUGCCCUUUCUCAGGUGUGAACAGUCUCAAUCAAGUUAAGUCUCAAUCAAGUCAGAACCAAUGCUGGAACCAUCUUCUGGGGUCAUGGACAGUGAACUGAAGGAGACAUUCCAGUGUGGUGUGCAGCUUAUAAGGAAGAGGGAGAGAUGUGCUUGGCCCUGGCACUUCCAGCACUGCUCUUGAGUGGAAGCCCCUCUUGCUGUCCUCCUUGAGAACCUGUGGAGAGCAGACUCUUGGGAGCUGUGUGCAGAGGCUGGAUUUGGUGCAACACCACAGUGAGGAAGAGCUGGGUUGGUGGCAUCACCAUGCUCUUCACAGGGUACUUCACCCUCUGCUGUAGCCGAAGCUUCUGGCCUCUGAAGGUGCAGCACUGGGGUAAGUAAACUUGGCCUGGAUACCACUGAAGCCCAAGCUUUGGAGCCUUGGGACCCAGGGUGAUGCCUGCACAGAUGUGGGAGGGACUCAAAGAAUCCAGUUACUGAAAUCUUAAAAAAAAAAAAAAAAAGCCGUUUCCCUUGCCCACCUUCCACCAAAGCACAAAUAAAAAUCAUAUCAGAAAACAUUUUAUUCUCAUUAAAGAUCAUAUAUUGAUAUUUGGAGGAGUGUUGGGGACUUGCCCAGGACUUCAUGCUCUGUCAAUGGGCUACACUCCUAUCCCUGAAACUGCCUUUUAAGUUUUCUGUAAAAUUUCAUUGCAUUACUACAAAUGAAGAUUGUUUGUUUGAAUUUUCUUCAAAGAAUCUUAUCCCUUGUGGGGGUUUUCUAAUAUAACCUAUUAUUCAAGACAGCUAUCCCAAUGAUAUCUUUUUCCCCUAUAAAAAUGCAUUUUAAAAAGAAGAAUAAAGUACAUCACACUACACUAAUCUAUACAACAGUCUUUUAGGUUUAACAGUAAGAAUAUUUCAAACUCAAAAAUGAGGAAAAGAACCCAAAGAUAGUAGUGAAUUUUAGAUAGGAUAGAGCACCGGCUCCUAGGGGAAUUGCUAUUCCUAUUCCUGGCUCUAGUGAAGAGUCAAUUUAAUUUUCAGGGUGGGAGGUAUCUGGAUUUUUUAUUGACUUUUUCUAUAAUAAAAUUAUGUAUUCUUAUUUUUCUCAGUAUUUCUAGUUGUAAGUUUUUAAAGUGUUUUGUAGUGCUGGUGAUGGAAUGUGAAGACUUAGGCUUUCUAACCAAGCACUCUAGCCCAGUGAUGGAAAAAAAUCUGCUAUAACCGUAUUUAGCAUGGUCUAAGAUGUAUUCUCUCAGCUGGUUUAAUGAUUUGAAAAACAAAAUCUCAUGAAUGAUCAUAAGUUUUGAAUAAUUUAGGAAUAGUCAUUAAGGAAGUCUUGUAGAUAAUAUUUCAUGAAAGAAUCACUAAAAGAAGUAUUCAAUUAUUAGAAAUAGUUUCAAAAUGUUGUGUUUACAAUAAUUAUAAUCAUUAGUGCAUAUUAAUUAUGCCAAAUAAUGAGAUUCACUAUGAGAUUUCCACAUAUGCAUAUAACAUGCUUUGAUCACAUCCUCCUUCCCUAUUAUCUUCUGUAACCCCUUCACUAUGACCGUGGUCCUCUUCCCCUUACCUGAAGGUCCACCUACUACUUUCAUAUUGUCUUUCCCCAUGCCCAGAGUCCACAUGAGAGACCAUCAACACUUGUCUUUCUGAGUGUGACUUCCUUUACAUGAUGAUGACCAGUUCCAUUCACUUUCCUGCAAAUGACCUUUCAUCUUCUUAAUGGAUGGGGCUGGGGAUAUAGCUCAGUUGGUAGAGUGCUUGCCUUGCAUUCACAAGGCCCUGGGUUUGAUUCCUAGCACCAAAACCACAACAAAAUAAAAACAAAAACAAACAAAACAACUUACAAAAUCUAGCCAGGCAUAACCUUGGUUCCAGCUCCAGGUCCCACCUCUGCCCCAAGUGUCUUUCCUGACAGUUCCUCUAUGUGACCCCUAUAUGUUGGACCAGAAGAUCUGGCUCCUCCCCUAUGGCCAGCCAUGCCCAAAGCCCCAGCCAUGUGCCUCUAGGACCCCCCCACCCGCCAUCCAGGCCUCUGUGUUGCUGCAAAUGUGGUUCUUGUGAUUCUGCGUGUGUUUUGCUGUUGGAGACACCGCCUGGAGAGCUGGGAGUUUCUUCCUUCGACAGCUGAGGUGGAAGUAAUACAAAGACCAUUGGCAUGAAGCUGAGAUUAGGCUCACAGAUCUCUGAGCCUUGUCUGUAAUGUAAUCUGGGUCAUGUUGAUGUUAGGGAAGCUUGGGAAAGUCAACCUGGAAGGUUUUUAGUCCAAGGGAUGGAACUGCUCAAGAGUGAAGAACAUCUUCUGAUGAAAUUAACAUGCGUACUGGUAAUUCUAUAGGUAGAACUAUUUGAUUAUCAACUGCUUGAAGUUGUAGUUCUCCAGGUUUUAAGUAAGAGGUGGAACCCAGGUAAGAAUCAAAAUUUAAGUCUUCAUAAUCUGUAUACUUACAGCUUCAAUAUCAUUGGUGGCCUGUUGUUUUUACUGUUAAGGAAGGGUCAUUAAUUUCAUCCAUUCUACAUAAAAUUUGUAAUGAGGGAAGCACAAUUAUAAUGAGGCUAAUGUGAAUGUAAUACUUCAGAUGGUCUAAACUUCUUGAGUAUCUGUGGUGCCUGUGUGAGUGAGUUUUGAGGUAAGUAUAAGGGAGAUAAUAUCAGGAACUACGGAGCUGAUCGAGAAUAGGAUUAAAAGUGUCUGGUUGUGAAAGUGUAAUAGUUCUUCUAUAAUAGAUGAUGUAGCAUCUUGAAAUCCUAGUUCAAUUUGGUAAGCCAUGAAGAUAAAAAGGAUUCUAACCUAUAAAUUAACUUUGACAAAGUUAUGUAAAUUUUCACUAACAUCUUAUAAAGAAAGUUAUAAUGGUUAUGGGGCUGGCUUGAAAGUAGUCAUAGGAGUUUGGAUUCUUCUCUUUCUUGAAUUAUGUUUUAACAUAGGUUGGUUCUUCAAAUGUGGUAAGGUGGAGGGAUCCAUGUAGUCACUCCGGGUUAGUUGUUGACAGUCUAAAAUUAGGACUUCUCGUUUUGAUGUGAUGCCCCUCACAUUAUAACAAUUAUAAUUAUUACAGCUGUAAGAGAGAUAAAUGACCCUUUGAAGGAUUCAGUAUUUCAUGUUGUAUACAUGUCUGGGUAGUCAGUAUUGUUGUGGUAUGCCAGAUAAUCCUAGGAAAAGUAUUGGGAAGAAAUUGAAAUUCACUCCUACAAUAUAAAAGUGAAGUGAAUUUUAGCUCAUGUAGCAUCUAGGGUAUAACCAGAGAACAGAGGGAAUCAAUGAACAUAUUGUCCCAUUAUUGCAAACACAGCCCCAUGGGUAGGACUUAGUGAAAAUGAGCUACUACAUAAUAUGUAGUAUGUAAUGCAAUGUCUAUUGCUGAGUCAGCUAGAACAAUUCCUGUGUGGCCUCCUACAGUAAGUAGGCAAACAAAGCCCAGGGCCCUUUAAUAUUGCCACUGUGUAAAGUUGCCAGUCAGCUGAAAACUCUGGUUGGAAUAGCCGUAAUUAUGGUUGCUGAUGUGAAGUAUGCUCAGGUGACCACAGCCAUUCCUACAGUAAGUAUAUGGUGUGCUCAUAUGAUGAAUCCUAAAAAGCGAAUGGAUGUUGUAGCUCAAACUAUCCCAUAUAUCCAAAAGAAUAGAAUCAGAACGUAUAUUUCUGGAUGUCCAAGAAACAGAAUAGGUGUUGAUAAAGCAUAGGUUUUCCCUCCGGCAUGGUCGAAAAACAUCAUAUUUAGGUUAGGAUCUGUGAGGAGUAUGGACAUUCCUGCUGCAGGAACUGGGAAGGAUGGGAGGAGUAGCAUGGCUGUAAUUAUUACUGCUCAUACAAAGAGUGGAGUCUGGAAUUGUGAUACGGCAGGGGGUUUUAUGUUCAUAAUGGUAGUAAUAAAAUUAAUUGCCCCUAGGAUGGAUGAAACACCUGCUCAGUGGAGUGAGAAAAUAGAUCUACUGAGGCUCCUGUGUGUGCAAGGUUCCCAGCUAGUGGGGGAUAUACUGCUCAACCGGUUCUUGUGCCUGCUUCAACUACAGAGGAGGCGAGAAGGAGAAGAAAUGAUGGAGUUUUCGGCGGACACAACAUCUUUGUUUGUAUGUGGUGCUGAGGAUCCAACCCGGGCCGCACACAUGCCAGGUGAGCGCGCUACCGCUUGAGCCACAUCCCCAGCCCCAGAAUGUUUUUAAAAUCUCCAUUUCACACUAAAACCUGUGCUGAUGA